UACGUGGGGUGCAAGCGUUGUUCGGAAUUACUGGGCGUAAAGCGUGUGUAGGCGGCCCGCUAAGUCUGAUGUGAAAUCCCCGGGCUUAACUCGGGAACUGCAUCGGAAACUGGCGGGCUGGAGUCUGGGAGAGGGCGGUGGAAUUCCUGGUGUAGAGGUGAAAUUCGUAGAUAUCAGGAGGAAUACCAGUGGCGAAGGCGGCCCCCUGGCACAAUACUGACGCUGAGGUGCGAAAGCGUGGGGAGCAAACAGG
rnacentral:rRNA from 1 species